rnacentral:rRNA from 1 species
GACGAACGCUGGCGGCGUGCCUAAUACAUGCAAGUCGAACGCAGUGGGGACGGGUGAGCAACACGUGGGUAACCUCCCAUCAGAGGGGAUAACACUUGGCAACAGGUGCUAAACCGAUACUGAUGGAUGGACCCGCGGUGCAUGAGCUAGUUGGUGAGGUAACGGCUCACCAAGGCCACGAUGCAUAGCCGGCCUGAGAGGGUGAUCAGCCACACUGGGACUGAGACACGGCCCAGAAUCCUACGAGAGGCAGCAGUAGGGAAUCUUCGGCAAUGGGCGAAAGUCUGACCGAGCAACGCCGCGUGAGUGAAGAAGGUUUACGGAUCGUAAAACUCUGUUGAUAGAGAAGCGGUAUCUAACCAAAAAGCCACGGCUAACUCCGUGCCAGCAGCCGCGGUAAUAC